AUUGAACGCUGGCGGCGUGCUUAACACAUGCAAGUCGUGCGGUAACAGGCGUAGCAAUACGUGCUGACGAGCGGCGAACGGGUGCGUAAUACAUGGGAAUCUGCCCUUUAGUGGGGAAUAACCCGGCGAAAGCCGGGCUAAUGCCGCAUAAGAUCUUCGGAUGAAAGCGGGGAUCGUAAGACCUCGCGCUGAUGGAUGAGCCCAUGCCGGAUUAGCCAGUUGGUGAGGUAACGGCUCACCAAGGCGACGAUCCGUAGCUGGUCUGAGAGGACGGCCAGCCACACUGGGACUGAGACACGGCCCAGACUCCUACGGGAGGCAGCAGUGGGGAAUAUUGGACAAUGGGGGAAACCCUGA
rnacentral:rRNA from 1 species